UACAGAGGUCUCAAGCGUUGUUCGGAUUCAUUGGGCGUAAAGGGUGCGCAGGUGGCGAGGCAAGUCGGAUGUGAAAUCCCGGGGCUCAACCCCGGAACUGCAUUCGAUACUGCCGUGCUUGAGGACUGGAGAGGAGACUGGAAUUUACGGUGUAGCGGUGAAAUGCGUAGAUAUCGUAAGGAAGACCAGUGGCGAAGGCGGGUCUCUGGACAGUUCCUGACGCUGAGGAGCGAAAGCGUGGGGAGCGAACAGG
rnacentral:rRNA from 1 species